rnacentral:rRNA from 1 species
GACAGAGGCCUCAAGCGUUAGGCGGAAUCACUGGGCUUAAAGCGUGUGUAGGCGGAUCGUUAAGUACCUUGUGAAAUCCCACGGCUCACCCGUGGAACUGCUGGGUAUACUGGCGGUCUUGGGCCAACUAGGGGCAGCUGGAACAAGCGGUGGAGCGGUGAAAUGCGUAGAUAUCGCUUGGAACGCCGAAGGUGAAAACAGGCUGCUGGGGUUGUGCCGACGCGUGAGACACGGAAAGCCAGGGGAGCAAACGGG